GAUUUGAGUUGAACCGCAUCACGAACAGUGACCAAGGCCUGGAAAGUGGAUGCGCCAGCUACUUCAUCCACCUGCAUCAAAUCUCCGUAAAGAUCAAUUCGAAAAGGAUCGUCACGUUCUACCUAUUCCUUGAUUCAAUAAGCAUGCAAAGGAGCUGACUCUUUAUCCGAUUCAUAUGAAUGACCUCUCCGUGCUGUUCGAUACUAAAUGAGAUUUCAGACAAGGUGUCCCGCUCGAAAAAAUAAUACAAGUCGCAAAGCUGAACAGAGAGGAUGAAAUCUUCGCUUACUGCCUAAACAAUCGCACUGUUAUUUUUGCUUUCACCAGAUUAUAAAGAAGCGAAGCAAGUGGAUCUGGUAGUGACGAGUGCGACACAAAAUAUCUGUUAUCAUCGAAGAAGCAAAUGCGUUGACUAUUCAAUUCCCAUGCCACAAUUGGCAGCUGUAACUCUGAAGCCGUAGAAAAUUUCAACUAUCUAGGAACCAGCAAAAAUAUCAGCAUCAAAAACCAAGGCAAAAUCACACUUGCCCACAGAUGGUACUUUGGCCUAAGCAUACAUUUAAAGGCGUGACCGAUGUCGAACUUCCAUGAGUCGGCAGUAGGAGUUUUCGAAAGAAAGGUUUAGCGGAAACAUUUUGAUCCAUUACGCAUUUCGAACGGCGAAUACCGCAGACGAUGGAACGAUAAACGGUACGAGCUGACAUCGCGAAUUUAGCAGUGCAAUGUAUGAGUUGCAGAGAAAGAGUACGUUGAACGGUUUUGCGCUUUGUUUGCAUAAGAAUGUAAAUAUUUCCUGGGUUAUCGGUGUACAACCACGCUCAAGUACAUGCUAUGUAUGACUGUGUGCAGAUGUAUGCGUAGUGAAAUAAACAACCGCAAACCGUACAUGGGCGUUAUUUGGGUCGCACAUGUUCAAGCGGCGCCAUUCAAAUUCGAUGAUUUUUACGAGUAAAAACGUUUCCAUUUUUUGCGAAAACUUCACUACCAGACGUCUAACUCACCUGCCUCAAUGACACGGCGGUUGUAUAUAAGCCAGUAAUUUUUUUGAAACAGCCAUCAAACGUUUCAUUCAUCUAAUUCAAUUCACUUUUGUAACGAAAAAUGAAACUUCUACAAAUUUUUGGACCACUUCUGCUCCUUGGGAUUUUCGCAGUGAAGCUAUGUGUGUCCCAAAAUUCCACAUAUUCCAGUCCAAGUACGUCAAGUAACACCUCUCCGUCAUCAUAUAGUUCUAAUACCGGUUCCAAGAGAUUCGUUGGCAGUAUCCGUUACACAGCAGUUAGGCGUUUACGUCUAAACGGUGGCAGUAACAGCGGAAGUGGAACUGGAAAUAGUCGUAACAGGAGAGGCAACAGGAAUCGUAAUAGAGGACGCAGAGCUAAUCGCAACAGGAAUCGUGCAAACGGCAGGAGACGCAGUGGUAAUCGAGCAAACAGAGGUAGUCCAGUUGUACGAGUUGGAUAAAUAUCACAGUUACAUACAAUACACACAUACAUGCAUUCCCCGGUUGAAAAUGUUAAAA